UUUGCAGCAAGAUAAUAACCCUCCUCCCUGUGUAGCCACACGAAUAGGUGGCUUACCGUUUCUCCUUGUCUGAAUAGCCCACGUGAUUAACACACCCUGACUCCUCCUCUCCGUCCCUCCUCCCUGAAGCUUUCUCUAGGAAGAGGGUGUGGAUGCAGAGCUGUUGCCCGGCCAAUGCCCACUUCACAUCAGCCGCUCUUGCAGGGCUGCUCUGUUAUCUCAGGUUUCCCUGGAUGAAGGAACCAACUGAAACCCCCUGUACCUCACGAUCAGUUGCUGCGGUUCUGGCUGGGACAGCUCUGAAGCAGCGAACCUCGGCGAUCAAGGACUUAAUCAGACGAUUUCAUCAGUAGAAAGGAGUCGGCUACUUGAAGCAGUCCUCCGAGGAUUGGCCAACAGAGAAGUUGCUUUUUUUUCAGCAACUUCACUGUAAAAAAGGAGCCUAUUAAUACUUCAUGUUUCCUGUGUGGUGCCAAAUAUAGAGACCCCACAAGUGUAACAUACACUUAACGUCCUACAGUUUCUACCAAAAGAGAAGAAAACCCCUUAGCAAUGUAACACUGAUAAAUGAAAACAACAAUACAUGGUCCUAACUUGGAGUAGAGGGGAAGUGAACUCAUGCAGCUUCUCUCGUUUAUGGCUUUCUCAUGAACUAAAGAAAUGCUGACUCCUAUAACCGAGGAUUCAAGAAAUAUCAGGGAGUUCUCCUUUGUGAGAAAAGAGAGGAAGAAAGCAGAGGCAGGUGGAGAAGAAAGCAGUAUUCUUCAUUUAUGAAGCACUUAUGAAAAAAGAGUUGUUUUCUUUGAAGAAAAUAAAAUUGACUGCAGCAUUUUACAGCAUCAUGAGACCAGAAUCACUUUAAUCAGGAAGAAACAUGAUGGCAGUGCAACAGGCAUAGAGAAAUUAUAUUUCACAUCAUUACUGUGUCAGAUAUGGCUAGAAACUAAAUCUAUUUUUCAUUAAAAAAAUUGUACAAAAGGUUUCAAUUUUGCCUAGAUAACACUUUUUGUUAUAAAAGUAUUCUAACUAAGCAUUCCUGAACAGCUGUACACUACAUCAAAAUUUUAGACUUUGCAUCAAAAAGCUGUUUACUUUUCAUCAACUUGUAACACAACAGAAAUGAGCAAUGAGAGAUCAUGUCCAAAACGUACAUUCAAUAUGCUGUAAUUAUCUUAAAACACCAAAAAGAAUGAUUUUCAAAGUUGAAGUAAUACAUACCUUGGAAGCAGCUGUUAAAUAAGCCCUGAAAUCUAUGUUAUGAUUGACUAGAGAGAUUACUUUGAGUGUACAAGUCAAAUUACUUCCUAUUUAAUGACAACAAAAUACAACUCCUUAUCCUAUUCUGAAACUCAGUUUCCACUAAGUAAUAGUUUUGACUAACAAAAUGGAAAUAUAAUUUUUAUAUUGUGUGUUUGCAUAUGUGAAAUAUCACAUUCUGUUAUUUGAUUAAAUUUAUUACCCCAAUGUACAUGUUAUCAGAGAAACAAAUUAGAUCAAUAUUAAAUAUAUAACUGUUAAUAUUUUAGCUUGAUAAAAUAAACAAAACUCUUC
ensembl:lncRNA